CUCCCGCCCCCCUAGCACCCCCCCUCCAGCUGUAACCGGGGAGUUUUAAAAACGGGCGGCCUUCUGCGGCUACAGGAAAUGGUUCGGACUGAGCGAGGCGCUCGGUCUCCCAGAUGCGCGCUGUGGGCUGCGCGGUGUCCCGGCCUAAAUUAUUCAGACAGGAUAUUGCCUCAUUGGGGACUGCUCCGUCGGGGCUCCAACAAUAGCUUCCCGUUUCUGCUGAUGGUGGUACCCUCAACCGCGCUACGAGCUGCCAUGGGGAAAAGGGUAACGUUUUGGUGUAACGUGCUGUGAAGCAGUCGGUAACUCAUAGAGCCUGUGUUGGCCGUUCUUCCUCAGUUUGGAGUGAGCCUCCUUGUCGAUUUCAUGUUCCGGUAAGUGAGUGAUCUGGAAUUGCAUUGGCUUUUGCGUGUUGGGUAGCAUGGAGUCAGGCAAAGGCCAGUGGGCAGAGCCUGUGUGGUGAUGUGAUACACAGCCACAAAGGAGAAAUGAAUGUCUUCUGUUCCCCAAAUGUGGCAUGUUGAAAGAGUCACUGCUAACUCAAAGUCUACAUCAACUGGAUACUAUCUCCGACAG